UACGUAGGGUCCAAGCGUUAAUCGGAAUUACUGGGCGUAAAGCGUGCGCAGGCGGUUUUGUAAGACGGGUGUGAAAUCCCCGGGCUCAACCUGGGAACUGCAUUCGUGACUGCAAGGCUAGAGUGUGUCAGAGGGAGGUGGAAUUCCGCGUGUAGCAGUGAAAUGCGUAGAGAUGCGGAGGAACACCGAUGGCGAAGGCAGCCUCCUGGGAUAACACUGACGCUCAUGCACGAAAGCGUGGGGAGCAAACAGG
rnacentral:rRNA from 1 species